rnacentral:rRNA from 1 species
UACGAAGGGGGCUAGCGUUGCUCGGAAUCACUGGGCGUAAAGCGCACGUAGGCGGACUCUUAAGUCGGUGGUGAAAUCCUGGAGCUCAACUCCAGAACUGCCUUCGAUACUGAGAGUCUCGAGUCCGGGAGAGGUGAGUGGAACUGCGAGUGUAGAGGUGAAAUUCGUAGAUAUUCGCAAGAACACCAGUGGCGAAGGCGGCUCACUGGCCCGGUACUGACGCUGAGACGCGAAAGCGUGGGGAGCGAACAGG